CCUACGGGUGGCUGCAGUGGGGAAUAUUGCACAAUGGGCGCAAGCCUGAUGCAGCCAUGCCGCGUGUAUGAAGAAGGCCCUCGGGUUGUAAAGUACUUUCAGUCGUGAGGAAGGUGUUAAGGUUAAUAACCUUAGCAAUUGACGUUAGCGACAGAAGAAGCACCGGCUAACUCCGUGCCAGCAGCCGCGGUAAUACGGAGGGUGCGAGCGUUAAUCGGAAUUACUGGGCGUAAAGGGCACGCAGGCGGUUAAUUAAGUUGGAUGUGAAAGCACCGGGGUUAACCUGGGAAUGGCAUUUAGGACUGGUUGGCUAGGGUCUUAUAGAGGGGGGUAGAAUUCAAUGUGUAGGGGUGAAAUGCGUAGAUAUAGGGAGGAAUACCGGUGGCGAAGGCGGCCCCCUGGACAAAGACUGACGCUCAUGUGCGAAAGCGUGGGGAGCAAACAGGAUUAGAUACCCGGUAGUC
rnacentral:rRNA from 1 species